CCUCCAUUUCUUGACAGAGACCAGAUUGUGAUCCUGCUCCUUUACAUAGAAAGGCAGAAGGAAAGGACUCUGGCCCCCCUCAGUGUCAAGUCUUCAGUGCCAGUGGCUUCCCAUCUGCAGGUUCUAUCCUCGAACACCAGAACAUGG
rnacentral:snoRNA from 1 species